rnacentral:lncRNA from 1 species
UCUCUCUUCCUUCUGUGUUGACUCUCACCGUCUCUAUCCUCUCUUGUACGCCUAUACAAGUAUAAAGUAUACAAGCCCUCAAUUAUGUAUAAGAUCGGCUCAAUUUCUAGGAAUCUGCUUCUCCAUUGUUCCAAGAUAGGCUCCUGUAAGAUUUAUUUUUGAUCCAUUGUUUUUAUGCUUUUUGGUGGUGAAUGUGGUUCUGAAUUUUUUUUAUGCAUUUAGAGGCGAGUCAUUUUGCAAAUUUAAAAAGAGGGGGAAUGGCCAAUUUUUAAAGAUUGCAGAUGGUAUGUGGUUGUUAAACUAUACGUGAGUGUUAUUUUCUAGGAUAAGGUUAGCAAAGAUGUUACUUCUACUGAUUUUGU